CUAGGAUGAACGCUGGCGGCGUGCCUAACACAUGCAAGUCGAACGGAGUGUUGAGAGCUUGCUUUAACACUAGUGGCGGACGGGUGAGUAAUGCGUGAGCAACCUGCCUUUCAGAGGGGGACAACAGUUGGAAACGACUGCUAAUACCGCAUAAUGUAUUUUGGGGGCAUCCUCGGGAUACCAAAGGAGCAAUCCGCUGAAAGAUGGGCUCACGUCUGAUUAGCUAGUUGGUGGGGUAACGGCUCACCAAGGCUGCGAUCAGUAGCCGGACUGAGAGGUUGAACGGCCACAUUGGGACUGAGAUACGGCCCAGACUCCUACGGGAGGCAGCAGUGGGGAAUAUUGGGCAAUGGGCGAAAGCCCUGACCCAGCAACGCCGCGUGAAGGAAGAAGGUCUUCGGAUUGUAAACUUCUUUUAUGAGGGACGAAGGACGUGACGGUACCUCAUGAAUAAGCCACGGCUAACUACGUGCCAGCAGCGGC
rnacentral:rRNA from 1 species